ACCGAAAUUUUGCCUGAUUUUACAAAAAGUAAUACAAAAAGAAGAUAUAAAAUAAGAGAAUAAACACGAAACGAAAGAGAGAAACGAAGAAGAAAUAUUUCGGCAACGAAAAACAAACGAAAGUAUAUUUAGGAAAUUAACGCCAACAAACCGACAACAAAUUACUGCGAAAGAAACUCAUGAAUUAAAAAGGAUUAUCCAGUUUUGAAGAAACAUAAGGCAAGCCUAGUAGCGGCGGAAGGAACUUCCUCAAAUGUGUUGUCAUAGUUUAAAGGUAUUUUCUCAAAAUUGUUCCGGUUUGAGGAAAAAAUAUUAUGUCCACGGACCCCUGGUUAAGAAUCACGCUACAGCAGAUAAUUAAAAUGAAGAUUUCAAAUCUUUUAUUUUCAUUAUAGAAGUAGAAAUUGUGUAUUGGUUGAGGAUUAUACAAAUAAAAUUAUAUUCAUUUAUUCUAUAAAAUUCGAAUAACUUUUUCUUCUUGAUAAGAGCGUCUUUAAAUAAAUACAGAUCUUAUGCCAGACAGGGCACAAUUUAGAUUUAUUGUGGGCCUAAGCUAUAAGAUAUAGGAGGAGGCCUACGAGGCCCUAAUCUGCCGCUUGUUUAGCUUCUAUGUAUAAAUUCGGGCCUCUUCUAGAUAAUUAAAAAUAUCAUUUUCUACAAAAUUAUUGAAUAAAAUAUUAGAUAAAAUCUAUAAUAUUUGUGACACGAACUUAAAAA